GAGAGGAAAACAGAGAAGGCCAAGGGAGGUUAGCUGCAAACUCCCUUCUAAAGUUACAGUGCAAUCUUAAACCUGUGAAAGACCUUCAUGGCUCAUUUGCAAAGCGGAUUUAGGCUUGGCUACUCUUCAUUCCUCCAGUCGUUGUCGGACAGGGGACAACAAUUCCAUCAGCCUCAGUGAAUCACAAUCUCUUUCAUUUCAGUCCAAGAUAAUGUCCUGCUCGUGAAAGUCCUCCUUAAAGACACAAAGAUAAAACGCCAGCAUUUUCCUGCUGUGAAGUUACCGAUGAAAAUUAUCUUGUUUCCAAAACUAAAAUACUGAAGACAAAUGUGGACGCAUGCUGAAGAAACAAUCUGAAUACACACCCUGAAGACAAACCCCUGGGGAAACAACCCUCAAAAUGAUUAUUUAAGAUGUGGAACAGGACACUUGGAAAAUCAUUAUAUGAUAAAGCUUAUUCAACAUGGAUUAAUGAAAGGAAAAACAUGCUAGGCAAAUGUUGGCACUUUUUUGGGAUGUAAUUAACAAGAUGAAUAAGGGGUUCCAGUACAAUGUUAUGCAAAUUAUUUUCAAAAAACAUUUGAAUAGAUGCCACUGGAGAGGCUUUUUCAUAAAAUUAAAAUAAAAAUAGUUACAAGACUCAUUCAAAAGGCUGAAUG